rnacentral:rRNA from 1 species
CCUACGGGAGGCAGCAGUGAGGAAUAUUGCGCAAUGGCCGAAAGGCUGACGCAGCGACGCCGCGUGAAGGAUGAAGUCCGUUAGGAUGUAAACUUCUUUUGUAGGGGAUGAAUGUGUCCUUUCAGGGCAUUGACCGUACCCUGCGAACAAGUACCGGAGUAACUGCCGGUACCUUGACGGUACCUAACCAGAAAGCCACGGCUAACUACGUGCCAGCAGCCGCGGUAAU